AGUGACUGUCAUUCUAAAUCUAUUCAACAGCAAAAUGUUUCGGAUGAUGAAACCCAGGAUGAACGAAUUUUUGCACAUGAGGGUACAAUAAAGAAAUUGGAAAAUUUAGUUGAAAAUGUGACAAAAUCAAAAGAUAAACCCGAUCACCCUGUGAUGUUUUACGCAAAAAUGUCUGCAAGAUCAUUCACAUUAAAUAUGUUAUCGACAGUUGUGUUUGAAACCGUGAUCCUAAACAUCGGCGGCCAUUAUGAUCAAUUUGAUGGGAUCUUUGUUGCACCUAGGAAAAGCGUCUACAUGUUUUCCUGGACUGUAUCUAUUGGUAGUGGCAAUUAUGUUGUAACUGAACUUGUAGUUGAAGAUAAAAUUAUAUCGGGAACAGGAAAUACCGACAGCAAUGGAGGAUAUCAUUCUGCGUCGAUGACGGUAUUAUGUAGGAUGGAAAAAGAUGAGCAUGCUUUUAUCAGAACCGCAAAACAUGGUAGUACAAAUCAUUUUUACAGCCAACCAAACUAUCCCCAAACGUCGUUUCUAGGAAUGCUUGUAUACGAUGAAAUGUGAAUAUUUGCAAACUUACAUACUGAAAUAGGUGUUUACUACCUGUAGCUUAUGCAUAACUCGAUGAACGUUACCCGAUAAUUAUGUUUCGAUUUCUAACAUCACUGAAGAGACAUUAUUUGUCGAAAUCCGGAUAUGGUGUAUAAAUUUUUGCACCUCAUGUUUGCGGUAUACCAUCUUCUCCGCAAGUUUAUUGUUUUCUGUUUGGUAUUAAAUUUACAAUUAAUAUCCAUGUUA